GUAGUCAUAUGCUUGUCUCAAAGAUUAAGCCAUGCAUGUCUAAGUAUAAACAACUUUAUACUGUAAAACUGCGAACGGCUCAUUAUAUCAGCAAUAAUUUAUUUGAUGAUUUCUUACUACAUGGAUAACUGUAGUAAUUCUAGAGCUAAUACAUGCGCAAAGUCCUAACUCGCGAGGGGAGGGAUGUAUUUAUUAGAUACAAAACCAAUGCGGGUUCUGCUCGCCAUUGUGUUGAAUCAUAGUAACUUAUCGAACGCCAUAGCCUUGUGCUGGGCGUAGAUCAUUCAAAUUUCUGCCCUAUCAGCUUUCGACGGUAGUGUAGUGGACUACCGUGGCGUUAACGGGUAACGGGGAAUA
rnacentral:rRNA from 1 species